AGAAGGCGCCGGGGCAAGCGGCCUGUUGGCGCCCAGUUUCAGCUGGCUGUUCCCGCUAGCAUCAGGGCUCGAUCGUAGAGGACGCGGCAGCCGCAGCUCGCGGAGAACAGCGGGCAGAGCUGUGGGCUGCACGCGCCCCUGCAGCCACCGGGCGUCCCGCAGAGGCUCCCGCGCCCUGCGGCGACUUCCGCCCCCGCGCUCCCCUUUGUCCGAGUCCCCAAGCGGCGGCGGCGGGGUAGGAGCCCACGCCGUGGGCGACUGAGGCGGCGGCAGUCCGCGUCCCGGCGCCCUGGAGAUGCCGGACCAGAUCUCCGUGUCGGAAUUCGUGGCCGAGACCCUUGAGGACUACAAGGCGCCCACGGCCUCUAGCUUCACCACGGGCACGGCCCAGUGCCGGAACACCAUGGCGGCCAUCGAGGAGGUGAAUUAUACCCUUUUGGGGUUCAGACCUCGCUCAACUGGAGACCUGCCUGUCUGUGCAAAGCCCAGUGCCCCACAUGAAUGGAUGCAGUGACUUAUGAUGAUGUGCAUGUGAACUUCACUGGGGAAGAGUGGAAUUUGCUGGAUCCUUCCCAGAAGAGUCUCUACAAAGAUGUGAUGCUGGAGACCUACUGGAACCUCACUGUUAUAGGCUACACUUGGGAAAACCAUCAUAUUGAAGGACAUUGUCAAAGUUCAAGAAGAAAUGAAAGGUUUAGUCUCCA
rnacentral:lncRNA from 1 species